rnacentral:rRNA from 1 species
CAUUCGCCGCGGUAAUACAGAGGGUGCGAGCGUUAAUCGGAUUUACUGGGCGUAAAGCGUGCGUAGGCGGCUUCUUAAGUCGGAUGUGAAAUCCCUGAGCUUAACUUAGGAAUUGCAUUCGAUACUGGGAAGCUAGAGUAUGGGAGAGGAUGGUAGAAUUCCAGGUGUAGCGGUGAAAUGCGUAGAGAUCUGGAGGAAUACCGAUGGCGAAGGCAGCCAUCUGGCCUAAUACUGACGCUGAGGUACGAAAGCAUGGGGAGCAAACAGGAUUAGAUACCCGCGUAGUCCCUGUCUCUUAUAC